UACGUAGGCAGCAAGCGUUGUUCGGAGUUACUGGGCGUAAAGGGUGUGUAGGCGGUUCUUUUAAGUUUUGGUGUGAAAAUCUCCCGGCUCAACUGGGAGGGUGCGCCGAAUACUGAGGGACUAGAGUACGGGAGAGGAAAGUGGAAUUCCUGGUGUAGCGGUGAAAUGCGUAGAUAUCAGGAGGAACACCGGUGGUGUAGACGGCUUUCUGGACCGUAACUGACGCUGAGACACGAAAGCGUGGGUAGCAAACAGG
rnacentral:rRNA from 1 species